rnacentral:rRNA from 1 species
AAUAUUGCGCAAUGGGGGAAACCCUGACGCAGCGACGCCGCGUGAGCGAAGAAGGCCUUAGGGUCGUAAAGCUCUGUUAUAAGGGACGAAGGGUACCAUGGUUAAUACCCGUGUUAAGUGACGGUAGCUAAUGAGUACGCCCCGGCUAACUCCGUGCCAUCAGCCGCGGUAAGAAGGAGGGGGCGAGCGUUGUCCGCAAUGACUCGGCUGAAAGAGCACGUAGGGGGGAAUAUAAGUCAGGUGUGAAAGAACGCAGCUUAACUGCGGGGUUGCACAUGAAACUGUAUUUCUUGAGGGCAGGAGAGGAAAGCAGAAUUCCUGGUGUAGCGGUGAAAUGCGUAGAAAUCAGGAGGAAUACCAGUGGCGAAGGCGGCUUUCUGGACUGACCCUGACGCUGAGGUGCGAAAGCGUGGGUAGCAAACA